UACGUAGGGGGCAAGCGUUGUCCGGAGUUACUGGGCGUAAAGCGCACGCAGGCGGUCUUUUAAGUUUGGAGUGACAGUUGGUGGCUUAACUGCCAAAGUGCUUCGAAAACUGAAAGACUUGAGGGCUUCAGAGGGACACGGAAUUCCGGGUGGAGUGGUGAAAUGCGUUGAGAUCGGAUGGAACGCCCGUGGCGAAAGCGAGGUCCUGGACGUUUUCUGACGCUGAGACGCGAAAGCCAGGGGAGCGAACGGG
rnacentral:rRNA from 1 species